AACGAACGCUGGCGGCAUGCCUAACACAUGCAAGUCGAACGAGACCUUCGGGUCUAGUGGCGCACGGGUGCGUAACGCGUGGGAACCUGCCCUUAGGUUCGGAAUAACUCCCCGAAAGGGGUGCUAAUACCGGAUAAUGUCUUCGGACCAAAGAUUUAUCGCCUUUGGAUGGGCCCGCGUUGGAUUAGCUAGUUGGUAGGGUAAAAGCCUACCAAGGCGACGAUCCAUAGCUGGUCUGAGAGGAUGAUCAGCCACACUGGGACUGAGACACGGCCCAGACCCCUCCGGGGGGCAGAGUGGGGGAUUAUGGGAAAGGGGGCGAAAGCCUGAUCACGCAUUCCCGGGUGAGGAAUAAGGGCUUAGGGUUUGAAAAGCUCUUUUCCCGGGGUUAAAAUUGACGGUCCGGGGGAAUUACCCCCCGCCUCCCCCCG
rnacentral:rRNA from 1 species